GACGAACGCUGGCGGCGUGCUUAACACAUGCAAGUCGAACGAUGAAAAAGAGAGCUUGCUCUUUUUGGAUUAGUGGCGAACGGGUGAGUAACACGUGAGUAAUCUGCCCCGGACUCUGGGAUAAGCGUUGGAAACGACGUCUAAUACCGGAUAUGAAGCGUGGAGGCAUCUUCUGCGUUUGGAAAGAUUUUUUGGUUUGGGAUGAGCUCGCGGCCUAUCAGCUUGUUGGUGAGGUAAUGGCUUACCAAGGCGAUGAUCAGUAGCUGGUCCGAGAGGAUGAUCAGCCACACUGGGACUGAGACACGGCCCAGACUCCUACGGGAGGCAGCAGUGGGGAAUAUUCCACAAUGGGCGAAAGCCUGAUGCAGCAACGCCGCGUGAGGGAUGACGGCCUUCGGGUUGUAAACCUCUUUUAGUAGGGAAGAAGCGUAAGUGACGGUACCUGCAGAAAAAGCACCGGCUAACUACGUGCCAGCAGCCGCCGUAAAAC
rnacentral:rRNA from 1 species